AUGAAACGCUACAGGAAAGGGCCGAAACGCCGCUCCUCGUCCCGUCUGCCUCCCGGAUUCCAGAUCGAGCUCGCUCGGUUCCGCUCCGCCGUCCGCACCUCGCACAAUGGCCUCCAGCUCGAGAUCUACUCCCGGCUUGGGUGCAGACGAGCACGGCCCAUCCACGGUUUGACCGCCUCACUCCACCGAUCUGCUGUUCUGCCUCACUCCGCCGCCUUCUUCCCUGCCGCAGUAAGUACUCAAAUCAGCGGCGACGGAACACACUCGCGAGGCGCACGUAGCUCGACGCCGCCGCUGGAACCUCCGUGGGUAAAUACAGAGCCUUCCACCUGUAUUUUACUUUCUUGUAUUCUUGAUUUGAGCUGCUCUGAAGGAGUUAGCCGUGGAGGAGGACUGAAGCUUGCCGCGUCUUUUCAGUUGACUGGACUCAGACAGCGCACGAUGCCGGACAGGAAAGGCGACACCCAGCUCGAGGACCUGCCCGAGGAGAUCAUGGACAUGAUACUCAUCCGGCUGCCGUCCAAGGACGUCGGCCGUUGCCGUGCUGUCAGCACGUCGUGGCGCAGUGCCACCUCUACGCCUAAAUUCAUGCUCGAACACCACCGCCGCCAGCGGUCGCUCCCCAUCAUCGACGGGGAUUAUGGGCCUGCCAGACUUGUUGUCUUCCGUGAUGCUGGUGCUGGUGCCUCCAGUCAACAGCUCUGGCCCUUCCUCCCGGGUGCCAAACACCGUUCUGGGAAUAGGCUCCAAGUCGCCUCUGAUGGCUUCAUCAUCAUCGCCAGUAAUACCCGGUGCCAAUUACGAUUCUACAUCUGCAACCCGACCAUCCAACAGCAUGCUCUCCUACCACAGCCUCAGUUGGGGAAAGAUAUCUGCAACAGCAUAAUCGGCCUCUACCAGCAUCAUCCAACCAGAGAAUAUAGGGUGCUAUGGGUCUCACAGGACUUGUCUGAAGACUCGGUAAACUUUUCUGAAGACUCGGAAAAUUUGGCUGAAGACUCGGAAAACUUGUCUGAAGCCUUGCUGUACGUCCUCACAGUGGGAUCCUAUGAACCGAGGCACGUCAGAGUCAGAAUACCAACAGUCUCGUGUCCUUCCGUGGAACAAAAGUUACUGAGUGGGCUGUCCUAUCGGUAUUAUUCUCCACCUCCACUACCAGCCCACCAUCAUGGCUGCCUGCACUGGUUUACUUAUGAUGACAGCAACAUUACGGGAGGUGCCAGAGACAUUAUUGUGUUCGACACAGAAGCCGAGUCUUUCCGGUGGAUGAACAGUCCUGUUAGUCCUGCGCGGAAUCUCUCCCAGUCGCUCUAUGAUAGAAGGUUGUUCGACAUGAAGGGGACGCUUGCUUUCUGUGGCGGCUCGCCCAGUUCCACCGCUAUAGAUGUUUGGGUGAUGCAGGACUAUGAGGCUGAAAUCUGGGUAUUCAAGUACCGGAUUGACGUGUCAACGGUGGAAGCAUCACGACAACUUUAUUUAACUUCUUUCAAAAGGAAAAGGAAAACACCGCUUGAUUUAACAGUGAAACAGUUCAAUGAGAUGGCUGUGCUCAAUGAGCGUGAGCUGCUGAUCAGGUUCAAUAAUAGAAUACAUGUGUUGCGCUGCGACAUUGAUGGCAAGUUCUUAGGUAUCGCGAACAUCGGGAAGAGUCAAUAUCAAAUGUUGCUUACUCACCAGCACCUCCAGGAGAGCAUUAUUCCAAUUCCAUCCCAUGAGAUGCGAGAAGAAGAUGAGGAGCCUUCAUUAUUCACAAGGCUUGUCUGA
rnacentral:rRNA from 1 species